rnacentral:rRNA from 1 species
AACGAAAAAUAAUUUUUCGUGGCGUACGGGUGAGUAAUACACAGGAAUCUGCCUUUUAGUUCAGGAUAAAAUUCUGAAUAACAAAAGAAAACUUUUCGCUAAAAGAUGAGCCUGUGUAGGAUUAGGUAGUUGGUAUUUGGGUAAAGGCCUACCAAGCCUAUGAUCCUUAGCUGUUCUGAGAGGUUGUACAGCCACACUGGGACUGAGACAAGGCCCAGGCUUCAUUUGGAGCCAGCAGUGAGGAAUUUUGGACAAUGAGCGAAAGCUUGAUCCAGCAAUACUACAUGAGUGAUGAAGGCUUUCAAGUUGUAAAACUCUUUGGUUGAGGAGGAUAAUGACAGUACUCAACAAAAUAGCCCCGGCUAACUUCGUGCCAGCAGCCGCGGUAAUACGAAGGGGGCGAGCGUUAUCCGGAAUGACUGGGCGUAAAGGGUCCGUAGGCAGCAUUUUUUGUUAGAGGUUAAAUAAAAAAGCUUAACUUUUUUCCGCUUCUAAAACGUAAAUGCUUUGAGUUUGAUAGGAGAUAGCAGAAUUUCACAUGGAGGGGUGAUAUCCGUAGAUAUGUGAAGGAAUACCAGAGGCGAAGGCGGCUAUCUAGAUCAAUACUGACGUUGAGGGACGAAAGCAUGGGGAGCAAACAGGAUUAGAUACCCUGGUAGUCCAUGCCCUAAAAGAUGAGUGCUCGUGCUUAGAUAUUUUUAGGCACUUAGUUAACACGUUAAGCACUCCGCCUGGGGAGUCCGACCGCAAGGUUGGAACUCAAAGGAAUUGACGGGGGCCUAUACAAGUGGUGGAGCAUGUGGUUUAAUGCGACAAUACGCGCGAAACCUUACCAGUUCUUGACAUAAAAAAAGAAAAGUUUGAAAGGACAAUUUUGAAGAUUUUUACAGGUGCUGCAUGGCUGUCGUCAGCUCGUGUCGUGAGAUGUUAGGUUAACUCCCUUUUAACGGGGCGAAACCCCUUUUCUUAGUUGCCACUAAAUUUAAUUUUAAGCCUCUAAAAGGACAGCUCCUUUUUUUAAAUU